rnacentral:lncRNA from 1 species
UGUCCCCCUUGUCUCUUCUUGACAAUGUCAGGUAAAGAGAACUCUUUUGGUAAAUUCUGGCACCUCUGUCUUCUCUGGGUGCACAGAAUGUCCUUUGUUGUCUGCCUAAACACCCUUACUCUAGACCCGACCCCUGUCAUCCUAAGAUUCCUAAUGCUUAGUAUGAACUGAUGAAAGAAAUAGAGUCCAACACUAAGUAGGUGGUGACAGCAACCACAGAUCCCAGGUAUGAAAAGCCUGCCACUGAAGAAAACUACAAAAGGAAAUCUUACCAAUUGGUUACCUGAAAUGAUGGUAGAGAAAUAGAAGUUUGGAAGUUGCUCGAAGAGAAACAUCCUUAUUCUUUAUGAUAGAUCAGGAUGGAGGAUUUAAGUGCUCCUAGCAGACGCAGGUUUCACGACUGCCGACUGCACCACCUCCGUAUACUGGCACCAGCUCCAUCAGCACCAAGGAUCCCACCACUUAUUUGUGUGUCCUCAGUCUCGGCCAUGGUUGCGGUGAUGCUUAUAAGGGCUAAAGGGACUUGUUUAGGUGGAGAUAGACUGGACUGGGCCACCAGCACGUCUAGUGGGGAAAGUGAAAGGCAGGCAUGAAAUGAGUCAUUCAAAUAAACACAGACAGUACAACUGUGUUUUGUUGUGAAAUUUUUGUCUAUACUUUUAUUUCUCUCCAGGUAUAACUUGGCUUACCUGUGUACUCCUAAAUUAGGUAAUUAAUCCGUGUGAAUUUACAUCCAAAAGAGGUAUGCAGGAUAAUAUCCAAUUUGGCUCUAAGACUUUAUGACCCAUGACUGGUUAAAUUUGACACUUACCUCCUAUGAAAAUAUUAUAAUGAAAAUAUUAUAAUACCUUGUUGAAAUUACCUUUUUUUUUUUUUUUUUUUUUUUUUUUUUUAAGACAUAGAAGGUGCAGAGUAAGUCCAGGGGCAUACGUAGCUAUCAGCAAAAUUUAGUUCUAUUUUUCAUGUCAUAGGUGAAUGAUUUGGGUGUGUCUCAGUAUGCAACAUGUAAUUUCUAGGUGAUUCCAUUAUAAGGAAGAAUUUCAUCCUGGAUAAUUACUCAUUCGUUUCUGAUAAAAGUUACUAAUUCACUACUCUAUACUAGAAGUCAUUUGAUCCAACGAGUUGUUUAUUAAAAACUGGUGAGUGGUUAUACUGGCAAUGAAAGUCACCCGAAGCUAUUUCUCAAUAGAAAAAGGAUGGAGAAAUAAAAAUUUGAAAGGCUGAAUACCCCAAAUUCUCUUUACCUGAAACAUUUCCAUUAACAGCGAUCUUUUUCCAUUUAGGAAGAGCUCUACUUGAAAUCCAACCAAAAGUCAUGAGAGACACUCCAUUCCUCACUUUUCAAAAUCAAAGCAAUCCUUUUGGACAAUGAAAGACAAUGUGUGCCAUGCUCAUUUGAAUCUUUUCACCUUAUUUUUCUAGGACAAAGCCCAUGAAAAAUGCAUGGCACUGCCUUUAUGAAAACACCGAUGAAUGCACCAUGCCCUAAAUACAUCUAACUUCCCUUUCCUUUAGGAAUGGGAACAUUCCUGAUUUAGCUCAUUUAGCCUGCAGUUGAAGUCCAAAUUGACUUGCUUUUGUUGAUAGUUGGCUAGGCAGCUAUUAAACGUCUCAUUCCUCCGCUUCUUAUUACCUUUAUAAACUCACCGGCCAGAUGAUCCUUUAGUGGGAUGAGAAAACCGAUGCUACAUAUUUCACGUUAUGUUAUCUUUGGAAUACAUUAUUCAGAUGAUUGCUCUGAUUCUUUCAUUAUAUAGGCUUGACCAAAAAGUGACUUCCUUGAAUGAAAAUACAAGCAACGCAAGAAAAUAAAGUAAAUUGCACGUAGGAAGUUCCAUUACGUUUAUUUCUGCUGAAAAAUAGCCUCGGUGGCUUCUGCUACUAGGGAUUCAGUCUAAUUUUCAAAGAAAACUUUCUUUUGUAUCAGAAAAAACAUUUCCCUAUAGGCUAACUGCCUAUAUUGUACGGGGACUUGAUCUUUUUUCAUUCUUUAAAUUACAACUCAUUUAUUUAAAGGAAUACUUGUCAAAAGAAAGCUUUAAGUAGUGAGUUAAAAAAGCAGUGUUAAAUAAUUGAAUUGACUGUGAUAAAAUUGCCUUAGUUUAAAUAGACUAGUCUGUUUAAUGAAUUGUGCUUUUAUAGGGUGAGAUAAAUCUAAUGUGAACUCAAGGGGUUCCACCAGAAUCACUGAAUUCGGAUAGAUUAAAAGAAAGUCAAGAUGAGGCACUUAUAAUAAUUCAGUCGUAUUUGAUUUUAUUAACAUGGCACUCGAUUAUGAAACUGUGUUUUCUGCCAGGUUAAUAAUCAUUAACCUAAAACAAUAUCAAGAGCCUUUCACACAUUUUGAACAAUUCAGCUCACUUGCAAAGAAAGUACUGUAUUAGUUCUUUUUUUUUUUUUUUGCUCAUGUAGAAAUAAUAACUUGAGGCUUAAUUCGGAACACAGCAUUUAACUUCCAAUUUUUAGUAGGAAGAGAUUCAGCUUAAGAAACCUUCCACACUGAAUGAAAUUAUUUUGGCAGUGAGACUGUGGCAGGAAAUUAAUUUCGUAUCUUAAAGUAAAUUUGGCAGGUUUACCUUCCUGUUUAAUGUUGAAAAGGGUUUUUAUAACAUACCAUUAGGCUACCACGCAGUCAGCCUUGUGUAGCAAUGCUGGGUUAUCACUUCAAAAGGGAAACUUAGCUGGAACAUUUUGUAUCCCUUGAUUAUACUUCUUGUGUUGUUAAGUGUUGAAAUACAUUUUAUGUGUUUAAAAACAAGAGAAGCAACUUCAGGGGGAAAAAAAAGCCCUAAACUGAAACAAGUACAAACAUAAGGAUCUGUUCUCAUCAAAAAGGAAUCAUGAACUAAGACUACGGAUCAUGUACUAGGCUGGUGAUUCAUUUUCACAUUGGCGGAAUGGUAGAACCAAAUUCUUUGUUACAUAGGUCAAGGCUGAAAGGAAGGAGGAGAGAAAGAUACUAUCAGUUCACACAUCCCGCUGAACCAUUCCACAGUUUAAGAGGUAUCUCUUCUUUCUAUCUGACCCACAAAAUUCCUAUUUUAGUACUUAUUAUCGGACAAGCAGCUUCUUAACUUAAGGCAAAAUUCCUUUCACCAUCCACAGAGACUUCCUGCUCGGUGUUUAUGGUCUGGUGUUGAGAGAUUGCUAAUGGUGACAGUGAAAAUAGGAAGUCAGAUUCGAGUUUAAAAUACGUAACAGAUUUUAAAUCCUGGUUUUUGUUGUGAUCUAGUUUACACUAGCAAGCAGAAUGAAGUGUUGAUGGAGCCUGAAGAAUUCGAGGACAUUACCCCACCUGAUGCUCUUCAAAUGUAGACUAUUUCAAAUAGACUCUUUUCUAAGGAGACUUUUCGUUUCCUAUUACAUGGUAUAUACAUGCUGGCUGUAGAAACGUAAAAUGAUAGCGAAGAAAGUAAAUAAUGCUCAUGUCACAUCCACUUCUCAUCCAUUCAGUAACAACAUAUUGAGGGCUGGACAGGUGCAAUGCCUCUCUCACGCCUUUAUGGAGUCUGUGGUCUGUCAGAGAUACCAGAUAUUAUGCAGACGGCCACAGAAAUAACUCUGUGAUGAUCAUGGACUUAGAUGCUGUGAAAACAAGAGUCCAGAGUUCUCUGAAGGUGCAUAGAAGAGGGCCAUAUUCCAGAGUAGAGGGGAGAGGUGGAGUGCCAGAGGGAUGAGUUUUAAUCUGAGGUCUGAAGAGCGAGGGUGGGCGUGGUGAUGGGAGAAGGGCAUUCUAGGUGGGAGGAAUGCAGAUGACCUGGUCCUGAGUCUGGAAAGCCAUCGGCAUGUUCCUGGAACAGAUGCC